rnacentral:tRNA from 1 species
GGGCCUGUAGCUCAGUUCGGAUAGAGCAGGAGUUUCCUAAACUCAAGGUCGGGGGUUCAAGUCCCUCCAGGCCCACCA